rnacentral:rRNA from 1 species
GAUGAACGCUGGCGGAAUGCUUUACACAUGCAAGUCGAGCGGCAGCGCGGGGGCAACCCUGGCGGCGAGCGGCGAACGGGUGAGUAACAUAUCGGAACGUACCCAGUCGUGGGGGAUAACUAUCCGAAAGGAUAGCUAAUACCGCAUACGUCCUGAGGGAGAAAGCGGGGGAUCGCAAGACCUCGCGCGAUUGGAGCGGCCGAUAUCGGAUUAGCUAGUUGGUGGGGUAAAGGCUCACCAAGGCGACGAUCCGUAGCGGGUCUGAGAGGACGACCCGCCACACUGGAACUGAGACACGGUCCAGACUCCUACGGGAGGCAGCAGUGGGGAAUUUUGGACAAUGGGGGCGAACCCUGAUCCAGCCAUUCCGCGUGAGUGAAGAAGGCCUCGG